rnacentral:rRNA from 1 species
UACGUAGGGUGCGAGCGUUAAUCAGAAUUACUGGGCGUAAAGCGUGCGCAGGCGGUUUUGUAAGCCAGAUGUGAAAUCCCCGGGCUCAACCUGGGAAUGGCAUUUGGGACUGCAAGGCUGGAGUACGGCAGAGGAGACUGGAAUUCCUGGUGUAGCAGUGAAAUGCGUAGAUAUCAGGAGGAAUACCGAUGGCGAAGGCAGGUCUCUGGGCUGAUACUGACGCUCAUGCACGAAAGCGUGGGGAGCAAACAGG